CAUGUUGACCAUGGUAAAACUUCACUUUUAGAUGCUUUGCGUCAAACAUCAGUAGCAGCCAAGGAAGCUGGGGGGAUAACUCAGCAUCUGGGUGCUUUUGUUGUGGGCAUGCCAUCAGGGUCAUCAAUCACAUUCCUUGAUACUCCUGGUCAUGCUGCUUUUAGUGCGAUGCGAGCAAGAGGUGCAGCAGUGACAGAUAUAGUUGUGCUUGUUGUUGCUGCUGAUGAUGGGGUGAUGCCUCAAACUCUUGAAGCCAUGUCCCAUGCUAAAGCAGCUAAUGUACCA
rnacentral:misc_RNA from 1 species